rnacentral:piRNA from 1 species
AACUUUGUCAAUAGUAAGGGUAUGGUU